GCUCCGGUGGCCUAGUGGUUAGAGUGUCAGUCUCUGAUGCGAGAAGAGGUGGGUUCGAUCCCCGGUCGAGUCA